rnacentral:misc_RNA from 1 species
GAUGAAGAACGUAGCGAAAUGCGAUAAGUAAUGUGAAUUGCAGAAUUCAGUGAAUCAUCGAAUCUUUGAACGCACAUUGCGCCCGCCAGUAUUCUGGCGGGCAUGCCUGUUCGACCGUCAUUUCAACCCUCAAGCCCCCGGGCUUGGUGUUGGGGAUCGGCGUUCCCUCGCGGCGCGCCGUCCCCUAAAUCUAGUGGCGGUCUCGCUGUAGCUUCCUCUGCGUAGUAGCAACACUCGCACUGGAUCGCAGCGCGGCCACGCCGUUAAACCCCCCACUUCUGAAAGUUUGACCUCGGAUCAGGUAGGAAUACCCGCUGAACUUAAGCAUAUCAAUAAGCGGAGGA